UGCACUACAAGAAAAGUAGUCUACCACAACAUCACAAUAACAACAUGCUCUAAAUGUUCGUUGUUACUUACAGUAUUCGACAACGAGCAAAUAAUGUGCGUUGUAGUAAAUCAUUUAAUACCACACGCGUCAUUUGCACGUUGUUAAUUUGGUUAUCAACAAUCUACUUUGUGUGUUGUUAUCUGCAAGUUGUCAAUUAAGUUAUCAACAAGCAGGUGUGCACGUUGUUGAAAAUUUUUCAGAAUGACAACAUGUGGCGAACGCUGUCAAAACUUUGAGAUAAAAAAAAAAAAAUUGGUGAGGGGAGCUGUCCGUUUUAUUCUAAAUUUUAGGAGAAAUUUGAAAUUUGGUUGACCUACCUUUUACAAAGCCACUAAACGCCCUAGUCGAAGCCAAAACUCAUUUCCCGCCACCAAAAGCUCUCGCCUCAGUCGACGGUGACCUUCAUAAUGUUCGACGGGCUCGGAGCCACCUAGUCGUUUCAGACUUCAAGCAGUCCUUCCCUCCCGCCAUCAACUCGUCUCCAGCGUCUCUCAGCUCAGCUCAGCUUCUCUGUCUUUGGUUCCCUUCUGAAGCUCAAGCUCAAGCUCUUUCUCAAGAUCAGCUCCCUUCGAUUCCUGCAAUGCUUCUCCGAUUCUGAUUACAGGUGUGGUCCUUGAAUGAUUAUAGCUCCAAAAUAUAUAGAAUUGUCACAGAAAUAUCACGAUAUUAUAUUCUUGAAGCUUGAUCGUGACCAAGAAAAUAAGGUUUGUCAUCUGUCAUGUUGAAAUUUUCUUUGACAUCAUUAUUUUUGUCAGGUGCCAGUGCUCUUAUCUUAUGUUUAUUUUGAUUAUUGUUAGCAGCCAUUUGUCUCAGUGCUAUUUGUCUACUACAGUCUACUGAACAAUCUAAUGCUCUUGAGUUGAUUAAUUUGUUUUUUCCUUCCGAGCUUCAUUCUUUUCUCAGUGUAGGUACUCAUUCACUGCACUUUUUUUUUAUCCUGUUUUUCAUCUAUGAUGAGAUUUUUUUAUAGUCUACAUAUAUCGACUUAUUAUCCUUUUUUUUUUCUCUUUUCAUUCGUGCAAUUUUACAAUCCAUUUUAUUUCUUUAUCAAAAGCAACCAAAGUGCCAUACACUACAACAAGUAAAUAAAGAUACAAUAAAUCCCACAGCAAACUGCUGAUACUAUCUAGCAAAGGCGAUCAGACUAUCAUUCCAAUUAAACUGUCAAGGCUUUUUCUAAAUUCCGUCAGUUUAUCUUGAGUUUCUCCUUCCUCAUUUUUCAGUGAUUCUGAUGUAUUAAUGAAAGAUUGUUUGCAUUUAUCUCCCUUUGCAACAUUUAUGAAAAAACAAGGCAUCUGGUUUUCUUGACACAUAUGGUAUCACAUCUCACUUCUCACUUGUAUGGGCGUAAAUGUUAUAAUGGGAGUUAUGUCUCAUGCUCGUUUAGGAUGAGAGUUUAGAAUUUUAUAAUCAAUAAAAUAAGUGAGGCAAAACUUGCAAAGGAUCUCUGAAUUGAGGUAAGCAUCUCUUGGAUUAAACCUUCUGUCUCAACCUUCUGUGAUGCCUUAAGUUGCCUGGUUGUGGAUUUUCCUACCAAGAAACGUGCAAUUGACAAGGUCAAGCCAGCAAAUGUGAAAUCUCAGAUAGAAUGGGACAACUUUGUGAAAUACAAACUUGGUCCUGAGUUUCGGGGACCUUCUCAACAGAACAUAAACUUAGAGAAAAUGAUAAAUGCACAUGCAACUACUUCUCAGUCACAACAAUCAAGUAGACCAAUCAAUGCUCCAAGCAAUGAUCUUGAAAAUAGAAGAUGUGCACUUUUGAAUUGGAACAAUUAUGAAGAAGAUGAAGUGGUGGCUGAAGGGAAGAUCUCUUCAACAAAUCCAAGUACAAAAGUUCAUUGUGUGCCUCUUGGACGAGAUUGUUGGAAGGUUUGGGUUGACGUGGUGUUUGAUGAGUAUCAGACUAUGGAAGUGUAUAGAGCAACCAUGGAUGCCAAACAACUUGGUGAAGCUGUAGGAAGCACUCUUGCAUGGCCCAAAAGCUCCAUUAAAAUGCUCCCUUAGUAGUUGAAGUAGCAGGUACAUUUUGCUUUACUAGAGAAUUUAUGUAGGUGAGGGAGUACCAUGCAUGUUUUGUCAAUGCUGAUGAACAAAGAAUCCAGUACUUUGUCAUGCUUGUUUUGUAAAGAACAUAUGUAUAAGAGAAUGUGGCACUCCUAAUGAAAUGUAAAUUUUUCAUACAUGGUUAGUGUGUACUAAUAUUGGCAUGUGAAUGAGUUUAAGUAAUGGUGAAUGUUUAGAGGUACAGGAAAGCAUAACCCAGCAAAUUGGGUGCAAUAGUAUGUACUGAAAUUUUAUAACAACGUAUCCAUUAAUAUGACAACGUACCGUGUAUGCUGUCUAAAAUUUAUGACAACGUGCAGAGAAUGUUGUUAAAACUUACAACAUGCGCUUGAAACGUUAUCGAAAAUUUAUGACAACGUGCAUAGCUCAUUGUUGAAUAAUUACAACAACAUGCUUCGCCUCUUUUCGACAACGUUCAAAGCUCGAUGUUAAGGACUCGGGGACUUUUAAUGACUUUGGCAUCUACAACAUGCGGCAAACGUUGUCAAAAGUUAUUGACAACGUGAAUUGCAUGUUGUUAAAUAUGUUUUUUCUUGUAGU